AAACUACCACAUUAAAAAUAUUAUUUUAUAAUGCUGAAUGGAUUGUGAGGUUGGGAAACUAAGGGCAGACUGACUUAACAUAUGAGAGGUUCUGCCCCAAAUAAGACAGACGGAGCCAGCAGUCUAAGAAGCUACAGCAUUAGAAGAUGUAGCUGUUCAAUAAAGGAGAGAUCUUACUGA
rnacentral:lncRNA from 1 species